rfam:Nicotiana attenuata strain TT chromosome 12, whole genome shotgun sequence.
UGGACAGAUUAUUGUAUUCGACUGUAUUCACGGCGUGAAACAGGGGAUUACACUGCUUUUAAACAGAAAGUGAAUCAAUUAACAUAAUAGACUCCU